AUUUACUUUUAUUUAACCCUCCUCUUUUUGUUGAAGUACAAACUGCUCCACUGUUAUGAGACAGGAGUUGAUGAAGAAAUAACAAGUGGAAAGCAUCAGUGGACUUUUUUACGGUAGAAAUGGGCCGGGCAGAACCGUUUGCAAACCACCAUCACCAUGCUAGAAAGUGUGGGCCCUUAGGAGUGUCGCUUCCAGCCACACAGCAAACUACCCCAUCCCCGACAAACAACAAGUGAACCAGAGAUCUCCCCCUGUCCCAAUGCACUAGACACUUACAGCUCCAGCACUGGGCAAAGCACUCCUCUGCAGAAAGGAAGACUCCCUUUGUGCGCGGUCAAAUGCUUACACCUGAUCCCUCUGAACCCCAGCAACACCCCCAUCCCGCUCCUCAUCCCCCAAAUGAGGAGAAACAACUGUGGAAUAUACUGUAGGUGUGGUGGAAAAAUGUUGUUCUUGUGUCAUUGUUAUGGUAAAACAUGAAACUCAAUACAUUAUACAACGUGUUAACAAAACAGAAAACGUAACAUUUAAAUAACAGCGCUGAGAAAAAAACAAAAAAAAAACACAUCAUUUUUAUAUUUUGAAAGAAUUUAACAUUUACUAUAAGCUCAAUAAUUACUGCAAUGUCUUUAUAUAUUAAGAAUAUACAAAUAGUUGGUCUUUUAUUAAUAUUAUUGGAUAUCAUUACCAAGUCAUAGUAGAACAGCACCAUCAACGUUUUACCUGCUACCACUGCACAGAAAGAAACAUUUUCUUUUCACUGUGAUUACACACGAUCACAGGUGGCCUUGUUGGAGGAGAG